rnacentral:rRNA from 1 species
AUUGAACGCUGGCGGCAGGCCUAACACAUGCAAGUCGAGCGAGCGGCGGACGGGUGAGUAAUGUCCGUGAAACUGCCUGAUGUGGGGGGAUAACUCCUGGAAACGGUAUCUAAUACCGCAUACCAUCAGAUGUGCCCAGAUGGGAUUAGCUAGUAGGUGGGGUAACGGCUCACCCAGGCGACGAUCCCUAGCUGGUCUGAGAGGAUGACCAGCCACACUGGAACUGAGACACGGUCCAGACUCCUACGGGAGGCAGCAGUGGGGAAUAUUGCACAAUGGGCGCAAGCCUGAUGCAGCCAUGCCGCGUGUGUGAAGAAGGCCUUCGGGUUGUAAAGCACUUUCAGCGGGGAGGCGUUACCCGCAGAAGAAGCACCGGCUAACUCCGUGCCAGCAGCCGCGGUAAUUC